rnacentral:rRNA from 1 species
AUUGAACGCUGGCGGCAUGCUUUACACAUGCAAGUCGAACAGUAACAGGUUAAGCUGACGAGUGGCGAACGGGUGAGUAAUGCAUCGGAACGUGCCCGGUCGUGGGGGAUAACGCAGCGAAAGCUGCGCUAAUACCGCAUACGAUCUGAGGAUGAAAGCGGGGGACCGUAAGGCCUCGCGCGAUCGGAGCGGCCGAUGUCAGAUUAGGUAGUUGGUGGGGUAAAGGCUCACCAAGCCAACGAUCUGUAGCUGGUUUGAGAGGACGACCAGCCAAACUGGGACGGAGACACGACCCAGACUCCUGCGGGAGGCAGCAGUGGGGAAUUUUGGACAAUGGGCGAAAGCCUGAUCCAGCAAUGCCGCGUGCAGGAAGAAGGCCUUCGGGUUGUAAACUGCUUUUGUACGGAGCGAAAAGGUCUCCUCUAAUACAGGGGGCUCAUGACGGUACCGUAAGAAUAAGCACCGGCUAACUACGUGCCAGCCGCCGCAGUAA